GGGGCUGUGGCUCAGUGGCAGAGCAUCUGCUUGGCAUGCAAGUGACCCCGGGUUCAAGCCUUAACACCUCCA
rnacentral:tRNA from 1 species